GCGUUUGUAGCUUAAUUGGAUAAAGCAUUGAACUACGGAUUCAAAAAUUGAAAGUUCAAAUCUUUCCAAGCGUG
rnacentral:tRNA from 1 species